rnacentral:rRNA from 1 species
UCAAGUAAGAAAGAGCAUAUGGCGAAUGCCUAGGCGCUAGGAGCCGAAGAAGGACGUGGUAAGCUGCGAAAAGCUACGGGGAAGUGCAAGCAACUAAAGAGCCGUAGAUAUCCGAAUGAGGAAACUCAUACAGGUUAACAUCUGUAUAUUCCAUAAUGAAUCCAUAGUUAUGGGAAGGGAACCCGGAGAACUGAAACAUCUAAGUACCCGGAGGAAGAGAAAGAAACAUCGAUUUCGUCAGUAGCGGCGAGCGAAAGCGAAAGAGCCCAAACCUAAGUGGGAAACCACAUAGGGGUCGACACUCAGAAAGCAUUGAAGAACUUAGUCGAAUAUGCCUGGAAAGGCAAACCAAAGAAGAGUAAAAGUCCCGUAGACGAAAAGAGAAACAAGCAAGAGUGAUCAAGAGUACCACAGGACACGAGAAACCCGGUGGGAAGACGGGGGGACCACCCCCCAAGGCUAAAUACUACCAAGCGACCGAUAGAGAACAGUACCGUGAGGGAAAGGUGAAAAGAACCCCGGGAGGGGAGUGAAAAAGAACCUGAAACCAUAUGCUUACAAACUGUAGGAGCAAGCAAGCAAUUGCAAGUGACUGCGUACUUUUUGUAGAACGGGCCAACGAGUUGCGAUAUGAUGCAAGGUUAAAUACUUAAGGUAUGGAGCCGAAGCGAAAGCGAGUCUUAAGAGGGCAAGAGUACCAUAUUGCAGACCCGAAACCGGGCGACCUAUCCAUGUCCAGAUUGAAGUUUCCGUAACAGGGAAUGGAGGAUCGAACCCACGUACGUUGAAAAGUGCGGGGAUGAGGUGUGGAUAGCGGUGAAAUUCCAAUCGAGCCUGGAGAUAGCUGGUUCUCUCCGAAAUAGCUUUAGGGCUAGCGUUUUGCAAGAUAUAUAUGGAGGUAAAGCACUGACUGUCCAAUGGGUCUUUUAGAUUACUGAGGAUUAUCAAACUAAGAAUGCCAUAUAUAGCGCAAAGCAGUCAGACUAUGAGUGAUAAGGUCCAUAGUCGAGAGGGAAAGAGCCCAGACCAACAGCUAAGGUCCCAAAAUAUAUGUUAAGUGGGAAAGGAUGUGAGAUUGCAUAGACAACCAGGAUGUUGGCUUAGAAGCAGCCAUACAUUUAAAGAGUGCGUAAUAGCUCACUGGUCGAGUGAUCCUGCGCCGAAAAUUACCGGGGCUAAAACAUAAUACCGAAGCUUUGGAUUAUACUGUAGAGUAUAGUGGUAGGAGAGCAUCGUAUACAGGAUGAAGCAGAAUCGAAAGAAAAAGUGGACCGUAUACGAGAGAGAAUGUUGGCAUGAGUAGCGAGAGGAAGGUGAGAAUCCUUCCGGCCGAAAACCUAAGGUUUCCUGAGGAAGGUUCGUCCGCUCAGGGUAAGUCGGGACCUAAGCCAAGGCCGAAAGGCGUAGGUGAUGGACAACGGGUAAUAAAUCCCGUACCACCGUAGUUGAAUGAGCGAAGGGGGGACGCAGGAGGAUGACCGGAGCACGCCGUUGGUAGAGCGUGUCCAAGCAGAAAGCGAGUAAGACCAGGCAAAUCCGGUAAUACAAUCGUAAUCUGUGAUGGGGAGUGAAAAUAAAGUAGCGAAGCCGAAUCAUUCAAACUGCCAGGAAAAGCCUCUAGCAAGACCAAGGUGCCCGUACCGCAAACCGACACAGGUAGGUGAGGAGAGAAUCCUAAGGCCAGCGAGAGAACUGUUGUUAAGGAACUCGGCAAAAUAACCCCGUAACCUAGGGAGAAGGGGAGCCUGUGAGAGCAGGCCGCAGAGAAUAGGCCCAAGCGACUGUUUACCAAAAACAUAGGUUUCUGCAAAACUGCAAAGUGAAGUAUAGGAGCUGACGCCUGCCCGGUGCUGGAAGGUUAAGGGGAAGACUUAGAGCAAUCGAAGGUUCGAACUUAAGCCCCAGUAAACGGCGGCCGUAACUAUAACGGUCCUAAGGUAGCGAAAUUCCUUGUCGGGUAAGUUCCGACCCGCACGAAAGGCGUAACGAUUUGGGCACUGUCUCAACAACAGACUCGGUGAAAUUGUAGUGCCGGUGAAGAUGCCGGACACCUGCGACAGGACGGAAAGACCCCAUGGAGCUUUACUGCAGCUUAGCAUUGGAUUUAGGUAACAGAUGUACAGGAUAGGUGGGAGACUGUGAGUAUAGGGCGUCAGCCUUGUAGGAGUCAACGUUGGGAUACCACCCUUGUGUUGCUUGAAUUCUAACUAGAAUCAUUGAAUCAUGAUAUAGGACACUGCUUGGCAGGCAGUUUGACUGGGGCGGUCGCCUCCCAAAGAGUAACGGAGGCGUCCAAAGGUUCCCUCAUCACGGACGGAAAUCGUGAGAAGAGUGCAAAGGCAAAAGGGAGCUUGAUUGCGAGACAAACAGGUCGAGCAAGGACGAAAGUCGGGCUUAGUGAUCCGGUGGUAGAAAGUGGAAUUGCCAUCGCUCAACGGAUAAAAGCUACCCUGGGGAUAACAGGCUUAUCUCCCCCAAGAGUCCACAUCGACGGGGAGGUUUGGCACCUCGAUGUCGGCUCAUCACAUCCUGGGGCUGUAGCAGGUCCCAAGGGUAUGGCUGUUCGCCAUUUAAAGUGGUACGCGAGCUGGGUUCAGAACGUCGUGAGACAGUUCGGUCCCUAUCCGUCGCAGGCGCAGGAAAUUUGAGAGGAGCUGUCCUUAGUACGAGAGGACCGGGAUGGACACACCACUGGUGCACCAGUUGUACUGCCAAGUGCACAGCUGGGUAGCUAUGUGUGGGAAGGAUAAGUGCUGAAGGCAUCUAAGCACGAAGCCAGCCUCAAGAUAAGAUUUCCCAUUCGAGAGAAGUAAGAUUCCAUGAAGACUACAUGGUAGAUAGGCUCAAAGUGGAAGUGCAGUAAUGUAUGAAGCGAACGAGUACUAAUCAAUCGAGGACUUGAUCCG